CCGAACGACAGGGCAGGCAUCAACCUGCACAGUCGACACCUAAGCCCAUCUUGACCACGACAAGUGCAGAACGGGAUGAGUACACAUGAGCAACCGCCCUCUUCUUUGGGAUAACGCCCGGAACGGGUGAAAACCACAUUUCACAGCUUCAGCCAUAGCAGUAGGCAGAAAGGUUUUCUCAGGGGGGGACGGGCUCACGGCCUAUCAGCUUGUUGGUGGGGUGAUGGCCUACCAAGGCUUUGACGGGUAGCCGGCAUGAGAGGGUGACCGGUCACAUUGGGACUGAGAUACGGCCCAGACUCCUACGGGAGGCAGCAGUGGGGAAUAUUGCACAAUGGGCGAAAGCCUGCUGCAGCGACGCCGCGUGAGGGAUGGAGGCCUUCGGGUUGUAAACCUCUUUCGCUCAUGGUCAAGCCGCAACGCUGGUUGUGGUGAGGGUAGUGGGUAAAGAAGCGCCGGCUAACUACGUGCCAGCAGCCGCGGUAAUACGUAGGGCGCGAGCGUUGUCCGGAAUUAUUGGGCGUAAAGGGCUUGUAGGCGGUUGGUCGCGUCUGCCGUGAAAUCCUCUGGCUUAACCGGGGGCGUGCGGUGGGUACGGGCUGACUUGAGUGCGGUAGGGGAGACUGGAACUCCUGGUGUAGCGGUGGAAUGCGCAGAUAUCAGGAAGAACACCGGUGGCGAAGGCGGGUCUCUGGGCCGUUACUGACGCUGAGGAGCGAAAGCGUGGGGAGCGAACAGG
rnacentral:rRNA from 1 species